CCAGGACUUGCGAGACUAUUUUUUUUUCAAUAAUUUUUCAUGUCGAAAUCCUCUUCGUAGGUGUUAAUCAACGAUGGUGUGUUCAUCAUACUAUCUCCUGAUGAUGAAAGCAGGUGGGACCUAUUGUAUGCUCUCUUUUCAAAUCGAGGGCAUUAGUCUCAUUUGCUUGUGAAGGCAAAGUCGAAAUCUCUUAUUGUAUGCGGUGGC
rnacentral:lncRNA from 1 species